rnacentral:rRNA from 1 species
UACGGAGGGAGCUAGCGUUGUUCGGAUAUACUGGGCGUAAAGCGCACGUAGGCGGCGCGGCAAGUCAGGGGUGAAAUCCCGGAGCUCAACUCCGGAACUGCCCUUGAAACUGCAGUGCUAGAAUCCUGGAGAGGCGAGUGGAAUUCCGAGUGUAGAGGUGAAAUUCGUAGAUAUUCGGAAGAACACCAGUGGCGAAGGCGGCUCACUGGCUCAUACUGGACGCUGAGGUGCGAAAGCGUGGGGAGCAAACAGG